AUGCAAGUCGAACGAAGGCUCUAGCUUGCUAGAUGUCCUUAGUGGCGGACGGGUGAGUAACGCGUGGGAACCAACCUUGGAGCGGGGAAUAACUAUUGGAAACGAUAGCUAAUACCGCAUACGCCCUCAGGGGGAAAGGCUUCGGCCACUCUAAGACGGUCCCGCGUCUGAUUAGCUAGUUGGUGAGGUAAUGGCUCGCCAAGGCGACGACCAGUAGCUGGUCUGAGAGGAUGACCAGCCACACUGGGACUGAGACACGGCCCAGACUCC
rnacentral:rRNA from 2 species